CUUGGUCAUUUAGAGGAAGUAAAAGUCGUAACAAGGUUUCCGUAGGUGAACCUGCGGAAGGAUCAUUCAUAAUAAGUGUUUUACUGCACUUUUUAAACAAGUACUCACCUUGUGUGCAAUGUUUGCUGACAUCGUCGUUCACGCGUCGCGUCGGCAUAAUACCAACCCUUUAUUGAAACUUUUUUGUCUGAAGAUAUUUUGAAUAAAUAAUUCUAAAUACAACUUUCAACAACGGAUCUCUUGGCUCUCGCAUCGAUGAAGAACGCAGCGAAAUGCGAUACGUAAUGUGAAUUGCAGAAUUCAGUGAAUCAUCGAAUCUUUGAACGCACAUUGCACUCUCUGGUAUUCCGGAGAGUAUGCUUGUUUGAGUAUCUGUAAACAUCUCAAAUCUCUUUGCGCUUGCGCAUAAGAGACUUGGAUUUGAGCGAUCCCGACUCCUUCGACAGAAAGAGGAGGGUCGCUUGAAAUGCAGGUGCAGCUGGACAUUCUUCUGAGCUAAAAGCAUAUCUAUUUAGUCCCGUCAAACGGAUUAUUACUUUUGCCUCAGCUAAUACAAAGGUCGAAUGAACUACCAACGCUGAUUGCAGGAAAACUCGUUUUUUUACUAAAACUUGUAAACUCGAUCUCAAAUCAAGUAAGACUACCCGCUGAACUUAAGCAUAUCAAUAAGCGGAGGAAAAGAAACUAACAAGGAUUCCCCUAGUAACGGCGAGUGAAGCGGGAUGAGCUCAAAUUUAAAAUCUGGCGGUCCUUGUGGCUGUCCGAGUUGUAAUCUAGAGAAGUGCUAUCCGCGCUGGACCGUGUACAAGUCUCCUGGAACGGAGCGUCAUAGAGGGUGAGAAUCCCGUCUUUGGCACGGACUACCAGGGCUUUGUGAUGUGCUCUCAAAGAGUCGAGUUGUUUGGGAAUGCAGCUCUAAAUGGGUGGUAAAUUCCAUCUAAAGCUAAAUAUUGGCGAGAGACCGAUAGCGAACAAGUACCGUGAGGGAAAGAUGAAAAGAACUUUGGAAAGAGAGUUAAACAGUACGUGAAAUUGUUGAAAGGGAAACGCUUGAAGU
rnacentral:rRNA from 1 species